UUAAGCGACUAAGCGUACACGGUGGAUGCCUAGGCAGUCAGAGGCGAUGAAGGGCGUGCUAAUCUGCGAAAAGCGUCGGUAAGGUGAUAUGAACCGUUACAACCGACGAUACCCGAAUGGGGAAACCCAGUGCAAUUCGUUGCACUAUUGCAUGGUGAAUACAUAGCCAUGCAAGGCGAACCGGGGGAACUGAAACAUCUAAGUACCCCGAGGAAAAGAAAUCAACCGAGAUUCCCCCAGUAGCGGCGAGCGAACGGGGAGGAGCCCAGAACCUGAAUCAGCGUAUGUGUUAGUGGAAGCGUCUGGAAAGUCGCACGGUACAGGGUGAUAGUCCCGUACACAAAAAUGCAUAUGUUGUGAGUUCGAUGAGUAGGGCGGGACACGUGACAUCCUGUCUGAAUAUGGGGGGACCAUCCUCCAAGGCUAAAUACUCCUGACUGACCGAUAGUGAACCAGUACCGUGAGGGAAAGGCGAAAAGAACCCCGGCGAGGGGAGUGAAAUAGAACCUGAAACCGUGUACGUACAAGCAGUGGGAGCACCUUCGUGGUGUGACUGCGUACCUUUUGUAUAAUGGGUCAGCGACUUAUAUUUUGUAGCAAGGUUAACCGAAUAGGGGAGCCGUAGGGAAACCGAGUCUUAACUGGGCGAAUAGUUGCAAGGUAUAGACCCGAAACCCGGUGAUCUAGCCAUGGGCAGGUUGAAGGUUGGGUAACACUAACUGGAGGACCGAACCGACUAAUGUUGAAAAAUUAGCGGAUGACUUGUGGCUGGGGGUGAAAGGCCAAUCAAACCGGGAGAUAGCUGGUUCUCCCCGAAAGCUAUUUAGGUAGCGCCUCGUGAACUCAUCUUCGGGGGUAGAGCACUGUUUCGGCUAGGGGGUCAUCCCGACUUACCAAACCGAUGCAAACUCCGAAUACCGAAGAAUGUUAUCACGGGAGACACACGGCGGGUGCUAACGUCCGUCGUGAAGAGGGAAACAACCCAGACCGCCAGCUAAGGUCCCAAAGUCAUGGUUAAGUGGGAAACGAUGUGGGAAGGCAUAGACAGCCAGGAUGUUGGCUUAGAAGCAGCCAUCAUUUAAAGAAAGCGUAAUAGCUCACUGGUCGAGUCGGCCUGCGCGGAAGAUGUAACGGGGCUAAACCAUGCACCGAAGCUGCGGCAGCGACACUUAGGUGUUGUUGGGUAGGGGAGCGUUCUGUAAGCCGUUGAAGGUGACCUGUGAGGGUUGCUGGAGGUAUCAGAAGUGCGAAUGCUGACAUAAGUAACGAUAAUGCGGGUGAAAAACCCGCACGCCGGAAGACCAAGGGUUCCUGUCCAACGUUAAUCGGGGCAGGGUGAGUCGACCCCUAAGGCGAGGCUGAAAAGCGUAGUCGAUGGGAAACAGGUUAAUAUUCCUGUACUUGGUGUUACUGCGAAGGGGGACGGAGAAGGCUAGGCUAGCCGGGCGACGGUUGUCCCGGUUUAAGCAUGUAGGCGGAGUGACUUGGUAAAUCCGGUUGCUUAUCAACGCUGAGGUGUGAUGACGAGCCACUACGGUGGUGAAGUAGUUGAUGCCAAGCUUCCAGGAAAAGCCUCUAAGCAUCAGGUAACAUUAAAUCGUACCCCAAACCGACACAGGUGGUCAGGUAGAGAAUACUCAGGCGCUUGAGAGAACUCGGGUGAAGGAACUAGGCAAAAUGGUGCCGUAACUUCGGGAGAAGGCACGCUGGCAUUAGGUAAAGAGACUUGCUCUCGGCGCCGAAGCCAGUCGCAGAUACCAGCUGGCUGCAACUGUUUAAUAAAAACACAGCACUGUGCAAACACGAAAGUGGACGUAUACGGUGUGACGCCUGCCCGGUGCUGGAAGGUUAAUUGAUGGGGUCAGCCGCAAGGCGAAGCUCUUGAUCGAAGCCCCAGUAAACGGCGGCCGUAACUAUAACGGUCCUAAGGUAGCGAAAUUCCUUGUCGGGUAAGUUCCGACCUGCACGAAUGGCGUAAUGAUGGCCAGGCUGUCUCCACCCGAGACUCAGUGAAAUUGAACUCGCUGUGAAGAUGCAGUGUACCCGCGGCAAGACGGAAAGACCCCGUGAACCUUUACUAUAGCUUGACACUGAACAUUGAGCCUUGAUGUGUAGGAUAGGUGGGAGGCAUUGAAGUGUGGACGCCAGUCUGCAUGGAGCCAACCUUGAAAUACCACCCUUUAAUGUUUGAUGUUCUAACUCGGCCCCAUAAUCUGGGGUGAGGACAGUGUCUGGUGGGUAGUUUGACUGGGGCGGUCUCCUCCCAAAGAGUAACGGAGGAGCACGAAGGUUAGCUAAUCACGGUCGGACAUCGUGAGGUUAGUGCAAAGGCAUAAGCUAGCUUGACUGCGAGAGUGACGGCUCGAGCAGGUACGAAAGUAGGUCUUAGUGAUCCGGUGGUUCUGAAUGGAAGGGCCAUCGCUCAACGGAUAAAAGGUACUCCGGGGAUAACAGGCUGAUACCGCCCAAGAGUUCAUAUCGACGGCGGUGUUUGGCACCUCGAUGUCGGCUCAUCACAUCCUGGGGCUGAAGUAGGUCCCAAGGGUAUGGCUGUUCGCCAUUUAAAGUGGUACGCGAGCUGGGUUUAGAACGUCGUGAGACAGUUCGGUCCCUAUCUGCCGUGGGCGUUGGAAGAUUGAGAGGGGCUGCUCCUAGUACGAGAGGACCGGAGUGGACGAAUCACUGGUGUUCGGGUUGUCAUGCCAAUGGCAUUGCCCGGUAGCUAAAUUCGGAAGAGAUAACCGCUGAAAGCAUCUAAGCGGGAAACUUGCCUCGAGAUGAGUCUUCCCUGGGGCUUUAAGCCCCCUGAAGGAACGUUAAAGACUAUGACGUUGAUAGGCUGGGUGUGUAAGUGCAGCGAUGCAUUGAGCUAACCAGUACUAAUGAUCCGUGAGGCUUAACCUU
rnacentral:rRNA from 1 species